UACGAAGGUCCCGAGCGUUGUUCGGAAUCACUGGGCGUAAAGGGAGCGUAGGCGGCGCGGUAAGUCAGAUGUGAAAUCCCGGGGCUCAACCCCGGAACUGCAUCCGAUACUGCCGUGCUAGAGGAUUGGAGAGGUAGCUGGAAUUCUUGGUGUAGCAGUGAAAUGCGUGGAUAUCAAGAGGAACACUCGUGGCGAAGGCGGUGCUCUGGGCCGGAACUGACGCUGAGGAGCGAAAGCGUGGGGAGCAAACAGG
rnacentral:rRNA from 1 species